UUUAAAUUCUUCCACUCCCUUAGCCCAAGUAACUAAUUCAUUAGCCCAACAACAAGAAAAUAAAACCCAUAUGUAAAUACUAUUUCAUCUUCCCCAAUCUACCGUAAGCCUAAAAUGAGAGAACUCCCCUCCCCCCUUUUCACUUGCUGCUACCGCCGCCGCCAUCCUCAGCGCCGCCACCCGCCGUCGCCGCUGACUCUUCCUCUCUCUUCUCCCCUCUCUCUCUCUUUCUCUCUUCUCUCCCUCUCUCUCUCUUUUCUCUCCCUCUUCACCGCCGACAUGCAGAGGCAGCGGCUUCGCCGCCCUCCUCCCGGCAGUCCGGCCGUCUCCGGACAGCAGUAGAGCUGUGCACUCUCUCUCUGUCAGCUUCCUCCCUCUCUCUCUCUCCACUCCGAUUCCCGCCGUCACCGCGAAUCCGCCUCCGUCGCUGGUUCGCGUCCCCGCCGCCAUCACCGUGAACCCCCCCUCCAGCCGCCGACGCCGUCUUUCGACAGAUAUGAAAAAGAACAGAUGUGUUUUUGGAGCGUGGGCCGCCAUCGUCGGCGACGGAGUGCAGAGCUCGUUGCCUGAAGUUAUUCGGCAGAUUCAUCCUCUAAGAUAAGAUUCUUAAUUCAUGCUUACCUUGGUUGUGGGACUUGGAUUAUUGGAUUAUUUAUAUGUUAUGUGAAUUUGGUGAUCCUUAAACAAUUAUCUUGCUAUUUUUUAUUUGAUGGCUAAACAUGGUGUUAAACUUGUUGUGUAUUGUUGAUUUCUGAUUUGAGCAGAUUCUAAUCUCUUUAGAUAUGCAUAUGCUUGUACGUAUGUGCAAGAAAGAAAAGGUUUGUUGUUUACCUCUUUGUGGUGAAAAAGUGUUGUUGGAUUGUAGCAAUCUCCCUCUUCGAACUCCUCUAUGUUUUGUGGGGUUGGUGUGCGCAGAGAGAUAAGGGGGUGUGAUGGUGAAAAAGAAAAAAAACUGAUUGUAUAUCUAUAUGCAUAUUCACAAAAGAUGGUAGUGAAAGUAACAGUAACAGUGUAGCAAGUUGUGGUAGAAAGUUGUCUUACACAUUACUAUCUCAAAUUAUUCUCCUUUGUCAGGAGGAGAUAAUGAUCUGCCAUUCUAAUUAAAUGCAACAUUAAAUGCUAUUGAAAAAAAUUCGAUCCACUUAAUCUACCCUCUUUUUAUUUUAUUUAUUUAUUUAAUGAUUUAAGUAAUUGUUUAUUUAUUUAUUCACUUGUUUAUUAAAUUUUGGUGUAGGUAUAAUCGUUUCAAGUUCGUGGCUUUGGUGUAGGAAAACAAAUAACGUCCAUAGUAUUCCCUAAUGAUGUACCGGACUUUCUUGGAGUGCGAGCACGACCGUUGAACGGGCUACGUGAACUUUUCUCUAAUUGUAAUAGAUAAGGAUUUGAUAAAUUUGUAUAAUAGUAAUUUAGCGGACUUCGGAGAUA